GCAGCCAAUCCUCACAUGACGGUGACCAGAGGCCACUUGAGCUCAGGCACCUCGGCUGGCACGUACUCCACCCUCCAGGGCUCGGGGCAUGACGGGCACCUCGGCUGGCACGUACUCCACCCUCCAGGGCUCGGGGCAUGACGGGCACCUCGGCUGGCACGUACUCCACCCUCCGGGGCUCGGGGCAUGACGGGCACCUCGGCUGGCACGUACUCCACCCUCCGGGGCUCGGGGCAUGACGGGCACCUCGGCUGGCACGUACUCCACCCUCCGGGGCUCGGGGCAUGACGGGCACCUCGGCUGGCACGUACUCCCUCCGGGGCUCGGGGCAUGACGGGCACCUCGGCUGGCACGUACUCCACCCUCCGGGGCUCGGGGCAUGACGGGCACCUCGGCUGGCACGUACUCCACCCUCCGGGGCUCGGGGCAUGACGGGCACCUCGGCUGGCACGCACUCCACCCUCCGGGGCUCGGGGCAUGACGGGCACCUCGGCUGGCACGUACUCCACCCUCCGGGGCUCGGGGCCUGAGGAGCAGAAGGUGGCCCUGGGCAGAUGCUCUGCGUGCGGGAGGCUGCGCUUUCAGUCAUUAUUUGGAUUUCGUUUUCCACAUGAAAAUAUUUAGAGAUCCAGCUCUUGGAAGCCAAGGAGAAACUGGCUUUUAAGUACCAUGGCUACUGUGACGUAUCCUGACUAAUGCCGACAGCACAGGGAGCCUUUGCCUGCCGGAGGAAGCGGUGAGGAAGAGGUGGUGCGUCGUGCACUUCCUGUUGCUGUUUUAGGACAGCUUGGGUGAGUCCAGCAUUAAAAAUCAGAAUGGGAAAAAGGAGAGGAAACCCGGAAGGGUCUACAUGGGAAAGCCAGGGUCUGCGGAAGACAGAUUGUCUCUCCCAGGAUGCCUGGUGUUUUUGGAGGGGCACGCAGCAGUUGGAGGUUUGCAUUUCAGGAUUUGCCUUACAUUAAAAUGCAAUUUAUCUGUUAAUUCUAUUUACUUAUUUAACUCACAUGGAUUAACUGCCUAUUCUGUGUACCAGACGUAGUUUGUUCCAGGGAAGUGCUGCUGAACCAGGUAAACCCAGCCCCCCAUCUCCAGGAGCAGAGGCUGCAAGGACAGGAAGACAAUGAGGCAAUGGUGUGCUGGGGGAAUCGUGCUAAAGUGAAAGCAUCCUUCGAUCAUUUUUAAGUCAUUCUAGGAUCUUCAGGGCAUCAAAGUUUUGCCUGUGAGCCUCAAUUGGUCUAAUACAAAAAUACAGACUGUGGUUAAUCAUCUGAGCUUUGAGAUCAUGUGAGAUUGUAAUCCUGCCUUGGUUCUGCCACUUACUGCUGGUGAAGGAAAAAUUAAUCUUUCCAAACAGCUUGCAAGACAGAAAUCAUGCUUUCUACCUCCCAAAGCUGCUGUGGGCAUGAAACAGCCCACGUGCAUGAGGUGCCCAGCAUAGCGCCUGGAAAUCACACACAAUCACAGAAUCAUGGGGCCAGAGGAGGCCCUUGAAGUUUUAUCUGAUUUACUCCUCCCAUGAGAUGCUUUAAUUCUCCAACUUCUCCUCAAUGGCACCUAUAAAGAAAUGGGUUCUCCCUCUGUUGUUCUCUCUCUCGCUCUCAAGCUCUUUUAGUACUUAGAGUUACGCCACUUCAUUUGAAGUUUAACAUGGUAAAUCUUAGAGACCAUCCAAGUCCAACACAUUUAUUUUAUUUUUUUUUCUGAGACUGAGUUUUGCUCUUGUUGCCCAGGCUGGAGUGCAAUGGCACGAUCUCAGCUCACUGCAACCUCUGCCUCCCAGGUUCAAAUGAUUCUUUUGCCUCAGCCUCCUGAGUAGCUGGGAUUACAGGCAUGCGCCACCAUGUCCGCCUAAUUUUGUAUUUUUAGUAGAGACGGGUUUUCUCCAUGUUGGUCAGGCUGGUCUUGAACUCCUGACCUCAGGUCAUCCGCCCUCCCUUGGCCUCCCAAAGUGCUGGGAUUACAGGCGUGAACCACCACGCAUGGUCCCAACACCCUUAUUUUAAUGCUGUUAAUGUCACUGGAUUUCAUUUUUGGCCCAGCAUCUGCUUUCUCUUGUGGAAUGUGCCACGUGCAGUGGAGAAGAAUGUGUAUUUUCCAGGCGGUGGGUGCAGUGUUCAUCAUUUGGGUCAAGGUGAUGGAUGGUGUUGUUCAGAUAUUUGUCUUUACUGAUAUUUUUGUUGAGGGAUGUUGAAGUCCCUAAUUAUGAUUGUGGAAUCAUUUAUUUCUCCCUUUAACUCUGGAUGUUUGCAUCAUGUGUUCAGAAGCUGUUACAAGGUGGGUUCAACUCUACGACUGUCAGGUCUUUCUGAAGAGCCUUCCCUUCAGCAUUAUGAAGCGUCCCUCUUUAUUUCUAAUAAUACAUUUUGUCUAAAUGUCUAUUUUAUCUGAUAUUCACAGAGCUUCUCUAGUAUUCGUAUACUUACUGUUUGCAUGGUAUUUUCUUUUCCUUUCAUUUACUUUCAAUCAAUAUGUCUUCAUAUUUAAAGUGAAUCUCUAAGAACACUACAAUCUAAUUAGACAAAAAAUAAAGCAAAUCUUUUAGAGAUAGUAUAUAGUUGAAUCUUGCUUUCAAAAACUGUCUGACAAUCUGUCUUCUAAUUGGAGUGUUUAUUCUAUUCAUAUUCAAUGUAGUUGUUCAUAUGGUUGGAUUUAGGCCUACUUUUUGGGAGACAGGGGACAGAGUCUCACUCUGCCACCCAGGCUGAGUACAGUGGCAUGAUCAUGGCUCACUGCAGGCUCAGCCUCCCAGGGUCAAGCAAUCCUCCCAUCUCAGCCUCCCAAGUAGCUAGACUACCAGCACGUGCCACCACACUCAGCUAAGCAUCUUUUAUUAUUUGUUUUCUGUUUGUUUCCUCUGUUGUGGUUCUCUGUUCCUCCUAUUCUGCCUUCAUUUGAAUUAUGUUAAUGUUUUUUAGAAUUCCAUUGUACUGGUUUUAUUGACUUUUUAGCUAUAAAUACUCUCGGCAUUUUUAAGUGGCGGCUAAUGGAAUUCCAGUGCACAUCCUUAGAGUUUUCUUAGGGUUAAUAGUGUAACAUCUUAUGUACAUUUGUAAACCUUGCAGCAAAAUAAGUCCAUCUGCUUCCCCUUCCUCCGUUUUUUAAUGCUAUAGUUGCCAUAGGUAUUACAUCCACAUACUUUAUAAGCCUCACAAGAAAAUGUUUUACUUUUUGCUUUGAACAGUCACAUGCUUUGAACAGUCUUAAAUUAAAAGGAAAAUUAGUCUUUUGUAUUUAUCCAGCUAUUUACAAUUUCAGAUUUCUUCAUUCUUUCCCAAAGGUGCAAGUUUCCAUCUGGUAUUAUUUCUCUUUAGCCUCAAAAACCUCCUCUAGCAUUUCUUGUAGUCCAGAUCUGUUGGCAAUGAAUUAUUAUAGCCUUCUUUUAUCUGAAAAUGUUUUAAUUUUACAUUUAUCUUGAAAAGACAUUUUUUACUGGUUGUAUAAGUUUGUGUGACUAUUUUUUUUCUUUUAGCUUGUUUGGGUGGUUGUUCCACCAUAUUCUGGCUUCCAUAGUUUCUGAUGAGACGUCAGUAGUACCUGGAGUUGCUACUUCUCUCUAUAUAAUGUGUCAUUUUUCAUUUGCUGUGUUCCAGAUUUUUUUGGCUUGUUUUUCUUUGUAUUUAUUGAUCUUGAGGCUUAUGGAGCUUCUUAAAGUUGUAAAAUUAUGUCUUUCACCAAAUUUGGGCAUUUUUGGACAAUUACAUCUUCAAAUAUUUUUUGCCCCCUUCUCUCCUCUUUUUAUGGGACUCCAGUUCCAUGGAUGUUUAACAUUUGAUGUGGUCUUUCAAGUUCCUGAGGUUCUUGUUAGUUAUCCAUUGCUGCAUAACAAAUUACCCCCCAAACAGUUGGGGGUUAAACAAUAAUCAUAAUUUAUUACCUGUCUGUGGUUUCUGUGGGCCAGAAUCCACACAGGGCACUGUGAGGACAGACUGUCUCUCCUGGGAUGCCUGGCAUUUCAGCUGGAAUACUGAAGCCUGAAGGUUGGAGUCAUCUGAAGGUGCUCUCACCCACACAUCUGGCAAGUGGAGGGCUGAGGGCCCAGUGUGGCUAUUGGCCAAACACCCACGUGUGGGCUCUCCGUGUGGCCAGGACUGCCUCACAACACAGUGGCUGGGUUUGAAGGGCAAGCACGGGGGUUGGAGGCAGAAGUCAUGUUGCCUGUGGCGACCUGGCCUGGGAGUACCACAGUGUCACUUCCCCUGUCUCCUUUUGGUUGGGAAAGUUUCAGGGGUCUGACCAGCUAGAGUCCGCCCAGAGUCUGCCUAACUGGAGACUCUGGAUUUUGCUCUACCCCUGUUUAUUUGUUCAUUUGUUUGUUUAACCUGAUCGAUCUCAAACUGCAAACUGUUUAUUGGGUGGCAGCUCAAAUCUCAGAAAAAUUUGUAAAUUCUCCACUGGUGUGCUUUGUGUCUUCCUUGUGCACGCAUGUUUCAGGAGCUAGCCAGAGAUCUGGGCAGAGUUCAUGGCUCUCUCUCCCUUUCUCUCUCAAAAUUCUCCUCCUUUUCCAGAGGCUGUGUUUUCCCUGAACUCUGGCAUCCAGUCUUCAGGCAAGGACAACUUCUAUUAUGGUUUUAGCUGCCCCUACAGCACCAACUACAAUACACCCUUAGGAUAAAUCCAUAGAAAUGAGAAACUUGUUCUGUGUUACCACCUAAGAUCUACGCUUUAGCAAAUUUCAAGUAUAAAAUACAGUAUUAUGAACUAUAGUCACCAUGGUGGACAUGAGGUCUCCAGAAUUUAUUCCCCCUGCAUAACUGGAACUUUGCACCCUUUGACCAACACUUCCUCAACUUUCCCACCCCAGCUCCUGGCUGCCACCAUCCUACUCUCUGCUCCUAUGAGUGGCACUAUUUUAGAUUCCACAGAUAAGUGAGAUAUUGUGGUAUUUGUCCUCUGUGAUCAGCUUAUUUCACUUAGCAUGAUGUCCUUCAGGUUCAUCCAUGUUGUUGCAAAUGGCAGGAUGUCCUUCUUUUGAAAGACUGAGUAAAAUUCCACUGGGGACAGGUAUACACCACAUCCUCUUUACCUGUUUAUCCGUCCAUGGAUAUUAGGCUGUUUCCAUAUCCUGGCUAUUGUGAAUAAUAUGCCAGUGAACACGGGAGUGGAGGCAUCUCUUUGAGAUUUGGAUUUCAUUUUCUUUGGGUAUAUCCCCAGAAGUGGGAUUGCUGGAUCAUAUGGUGGCUAUGUUUUUAAUUUUUUGAGGCAUCUCCAUACUGUUUUCCAUAAUGGCUGUAUCAAUUUACAUUCCCACUAACAGUUCUAAGGGUUCCCUCUUCUUGACACCCUCCAUUCCUAAUGGUUUUGUGUAAAUGCGCAGGUCUCACCUCCACAGUUGGGUUGUAAUCCCGAGAGCAGAGCUGCAGUCCUCAUGCCUGCUGACCCUGCAGGGUGUGGUGUCUCUGUCCAUCCAAGGACCAGCCCUGUUCAUUGUCUAACACAGCAGCAGAAGCUGUGCACACUGACUUUCCCUACAAGAGCAGUGACCAGAGAAAGUUUAAUUUAUUCCACGCAGAAAUAUGGCAAGUAUUUUUUUUUUAACUAAUCAAACAGAUUACUUAUCAGAUGGCAUGGGUUAAAAAUUACUCAGUCUAAAAAUGUCUGGUGAACAAGCGCUUAAUUUUAGCAAACAAUUCUAAAUUGAGUACUUAUGAAAAGCAAUUUUUUUGUUCCCCAAACCCAAAAGACACCCUCCCUCCUUUAGAUAAAAAGGGA
rnacentral:lncRNA from 1 species